UACAGAGGUCUCAAGCGUUGUUCGGAAUCACUGGGCGUAAAGCGUGCGUAGGCUGUUUCGUAAGUCGUGUGUGAAAGGCGCGGGCUCAACCCGCGGACGGCACAUGAUACUGCGAGACUAGAGUAAUGGAGGGGGAACCGGAAUUCUCGGUGUAGCAGUGAAAUGCGUAGAUAUCGAGAGGAACACUCGUGGCGAAGGCGGGUUCCUGGACAUUUAACUGACGCUGAGGCACGAAGGCCAGGGGAGCGAAAGGG
rnacentral:rRNA from 1 species